GAGUUUGAUCAUGGCUCAGAAUCAACGCUGGCGGCGUGCCUAACACAUGCAAGUCGCACGAGAAAGAGGGGGCAACUCCUUGAGUAAAGUGGCGUACGGGUGAGUAACACGUGACUAACCUACCUCCGAAUGGGGAAUAACCUCGGGAAACCGGGGCUAAUACCGCAUAACAUCUACGGAUCAAAGCAGCAAUGCGUUUGGAGAGGGGGUCGCGGCUGAUUAGCUAGUUGGUGGGGUAAUGGCCCACCAAGGCUACGAUCAGUAUCCGGCCUGAGAGGGCGCACGGACACACUGGAACUGAAACACGGUCCAGACUCCUACGGGAGGCAGCAGUGGGGAAUUUUGCGCAAUGGGGGAAACCCUGACGCAGCAACGCCGCGUGGAGGAUGAAGGUCUUUGGAUUGUAAACUCCUUUCGAUCGGGACGAUUAUGACGGUACCGGAAGAAGAAGCACCGACUAACUCUGUGCCAGCAGCCGCGGUAAUACG
rnacentral:rRNA from 1 species